GAUGAACGCUGGCGGCGUGCUUAACACAUGCAAGUCGAACGAAAAGACGCGUACUUGCCGGGGUACUCGAGUGGCGAACGGGGGAGUAACACGUGGGUGAUCUGCCCUUCACUUCGGGAUAAACCUGGGGAACUGCGGCUAAUACCGGAGAGGACGUAGUUAUGGGUGCGAUUGUGGAAAGUUUGUCGGUGUGGGAUUCGCUCGCGGCCUAUCAGCUUGUUGGUGGGGUAAUGGCCUACCAAGGGGUCGACGGGUAGCCGGCCUGAGAGCGGGUACGGCCACAUUGCGCCUGCGAUACGGACCAGACUGCUACGGGCGGCAGCAGUGGGGAACCUUGCACAACGGGCGCACGCCUGAUGCAGAGACGUUGCGUGGGUGAAGCCGGCCUACGGGUGGUAAACUACUUUCGAUAGGGACGAAGAGGUAGUGACGGUACCUGGAGAAGAAGCACCGGCUAACUACGUG
rnacentral:rRNA from 1 species